rnacentral:misc_RNA from 1 species
AAGUCGUAACAAGGAUUCCGUAGGUGAACCUGCGGAAGGAUCAUUACAAUGUAUCCAACCGUUAAACCACUGUACAUCAGAGGGCUGGAUUAAUUUCCUUUGAGGUAGCUUUCUGGUGAAUUUUCCGUAAGAAGCCUAACCAUGAUAAAAUUUUGUUCUUAAAAGCACUCUUCUUCGAAAGGGGAAGGGGGCGAAAUAAAAAACCGCACAACUCUUAACAAUGGAUAUCUUGGUUCUC